GAACCGUGCGAACGUUGUUCGGAAUCACUGGGCUUAAAGGGCGCGUAGGCGGCAUGGCAAGUCGGGAGUGAAAUGCCUGGGCUCAACCGAGGAACUGCUUUCGAGACUGCCAAGCUAGAGUGCGGAAGGGGCAUCUGGAAUUCCCAGUGUAGCGGUGAAAUGCGUAGAUAUUGGGAAGAACACCUGAGGCGAAGGCGGGAUGCUGGGCCGACACUGACGCUGAAGCGCGAAAGCCAGGGGAGCAAACGGGAUUAGAUACCCCGGUAGUCCUGGCCCUAAACGAUGGAUACUUGGUGUGUGGGGUUCUUCGAGUCCCCGCGUGCCGGAGCUAACGCGGUAAGUAUCCCGCCUGGGGAGUACGGUCGCAAGGCUG
rnacentral:rRNA from 1 species